UGCCACAGUCGGUUAUUUUAU
rnacentral:piRNA from 1 species